GCUAGCGUUGUCCGGAAUCAUUGGGCGUAAAGCGCGUGUAGGCGGUCCGGUAAGUCCGCUGUGAAAGUCGGGGGCUCAACCCUCGGAUGCCGGUGGAUACUGUCGGGCUUGAGUACGGAAGAGGCGAGUGGAAUUCCUGGUGUAGCGGUGAAAUGCGCAGAUAUCAGGAGGAACACCAAUUGCGAAGGCAGCUCGCUGGGACGUUACUGACGCUGAGACGCGAAAGCGUGGGGAGCAAACAGG
rnacentral:rRNA from 1 species